GGGGACACAGCAUGGAACGGCCUGGAGGAGGGUUGCAAGGCAGAGCCCCUGCAUGGAAGAGCCAGACCCGAGGCUGCCACACUGAGACUCGGCGCCUGCAACAGUUCACUCAGACUCAGCGCCUGCAACAGCAGACCCAGGUACUCCACUUGAUGCUUCACCCUACAAAGAAAACAGAGAGAAAAUGGAGCCCAUGCACGACUGGAGAGUUCUGCAGCCCCAUUCUUCCAACGCCCAACACACUAAGUUGAGAUGCAAGAAAAUAUAUUGGAAGAGUAAAAUUCAGACUCCUCAGACUCAGGGUUGGUCUCUCAGGUUCAAUAUUACUUUUAUAAAUGUUUUACUAUGAUAUGCAAUUAUAUUAUACUUGACAAUA